AAUAUUUUUCUGGUAAAAAUACCGUGUACAAGUAAAUACAAUAAUAUUUUGGUCAAAAAUAAAAUUAAAGAUUAUGGUGACGAUUUAGUAAAAAUACGAUACUGGGGUUAUCAAGCAGUCGGCAAAUACACAAUAAUUAAUUAAGUGCACGUAAAAAAAAACAAAAUAAAAAACAUCGGCAGAUGAUAAACUUAGUAAAAUGGAAGUUGUGGCAGUCGGUGGAUGUUGGUGUGACUUUGUCAGUAUUUCACCAAGAUUACCAGAAAAGGGACAGACAAUUUUGGGUAGCAAAUUUUUAACUCAACAUGGCGGAAAAG